rnacentral:rRNA from 1 species
UGGGGAAUAUUGCGCAAUGGGCGAAAGCCUGACGCAGCGACGCCGCGUGAGGGAUGAAGGUUUUCGGAUCGUAAACCUCUGUCAGAAGGGAAGAAACCGCACUGUGCUAAUCAGCAGUGCCUUGACGGUACCUUCAAAGGAAGCACCGGCUAACUCCGUGCUAGCAGCCGCGGUAAUACGGAGGGUGCAAGCGUUAAUCGGAAUUACUGGGCGUAAAGCGCACGUAGGCUGCUUUGUAAGUCAGGGGUGAAAUCCCACGGCUCAACCGUGGAACUGCCUUUGAUACUGCUUAGCUUGAAUCCGGGAGAGGGUGGCGGAAUUCCAGGUGUAGGAGUGAAAUCCGUAGAUAUCUGGAGGAACAUCAGUGGCGAAGGCGGCAACCUGGACCGGUAUUGACGCUGAGGUGCGAAAGCGUGGGGAGCAAACAGG